rnacentral:rRNA from 3 species
AACGGCGAGUGAAGAGGAAGAGCUCAAAGUUGGAACCUGUUUGGCCUAGCUAAACCGGAUUGUAGACUGUAGAAGUGUUUUCCAGGCAAGCCGAGUAAAUAAGUCCUUUGGAACAGGGCAUCAUAGAGGGUGAGAAUCCCGUCUUUGGCUUGAGCAUUUGCCUUUUGUGAUACGCUUUCAAAGAGUCAGGUUGUUUGGGAAUGCAGCCUAAAUUGGGUGGUAAAUCUCACCUAAAGCUAAAUAUUGGCGAGAAACCGAUAGCGAACAAGUACCGUGAGGGAAAGAUGAAAAGAACUUUGAAAAGAGAGUUAAACAGUAUGUGAAAUUGUUAAAAGGGAACCGUUUGGAGCCAGACUGGCUUGUCUGUAAUCAAUCUAGGCUUCGGCCUGGAUGCACUUGCAGGCUAUGCCUGCCAACGACAAUUUGACUUGAGGGAAAAAACUAGGGGAAAUGUGGCCCACUUGUGGGUGUUAUAGUCCCUUAGAAAAUACCUUGGGUUGGAUUGAGGAACGCAGCGAAUGCUUAUUGGCGAGUUUUCCAGGAAGGUUUUCUGAGGUACUACGGUAUCAAGGUUGAUCUUUUUGGUUAUACUUCUAUUCGCUUAGGUUGUUGGCUUAAUGACUCUAAAUGACCCGUCUUGAAACACGGACCAAGGAGUCCACCAUUAGUGCGAGUAUUUGGGUGCCAAACCCAUAUGCGUAAGGAAACUGAUUGAUACGAAUCCAUUAAGGAGGCAGUAUCGUCCGGCGCUGACGUUUUAUACUGAAUUGACCGAGACAAAGCACUAAUGAUGGGACCCGAAAGAUGGUGAACUAUGCCUGAAUAGGGUGAAGCCAGAGGAAACUCUGGUGGAGGCUCGUAGCGAUUCUGACGUGCAAAUCGAUCGUCAAAUUU